UACGUAGGUGGCAAGCGUUGUCCGGAUUUAUUGGGCGUAAAGCGAGCGCAGGCGGUCUUUUAAGUCUGAUGUGAAAGCCCCCGGCUUAACCGGGGAGGGUCAUUGGAAACUGGGAGACUUGAGUGCAGAAGAGGAAAGCGGAAUUCCAUGUGUAGCGGUGAAAUGCGUAGAUAUAUGGAGGAACACCAGUGGCGAAGGCGGCUUUCUGGUCUGUAACUGACGCUGAGGCUCGAAAGCGUGGGGAGCAAACAGGAUUAGAUACCCUGGUAGUCCACGCCGUAAACGAUGAGUGAUAAGUGUUGGAGGGUUUCAGACCUUCAGUGCUGAAGCAAACGCAUUAAGCAAUCCGCCUGGGGAGUACGACCGCAAGGUUGAA
rnacentral:rRNA from 1 species